GCGUUUGACCUCAAAUCAGGUAGGAUUACCCGCUGGA
rnacentral:rRNA from 1 species